AUUAAACGCUGGCGGCAUGCCUUACACAUGCAAGUCGAACGGCAGCACGGGGGCAACCCUGGUGGCGAGUGGCGAACGGGUGAGUAAAGCAUCGGAACGUGCCAUUGAGUGGGGGAUAACGUAGCGAAAGUUGCGCUAAUACCGCAUAUUCUGUGAGCAGGAAAGCAGGGGACCGCAAGGCCUUGCGCUCUUUGAGCGGCCGAUGUCAGAUUAGCUAGUUGGUGAGGUAAAGGCUUACCAAGGCGACGAUCUGUAGCGGGUCUGAGAGGAUGAUCCGCCACACUGGAACUGAGACACGGCCCAGACUCCUACGGGAGGCAGCAGUGGGGAAUUUUGGACAAUGGGCGCAAGCCUGAUCCAGCAAUGCCGCGUGCAGGAAG
rnacentral:rRNA from 1 species